UACGGGGGGGGCAAGCGUUGUUCGGAAUUACUGGGCGUAAAGGGCUCGUAGGCGGCCAACUAAGUCAGACGUGAAAUCCCUCGGCUUAACCGGGGAACUGCAUCUGAUACUGGAUGGCUUGAGUUCGGGAGAGGUGAGUGGAAUUCCGAGUGUAGAGGUGAAAUUCGUAGAUAUUCGGAAGAACACCAGUGGCGAAGGCGGCUCACUGGACCGGCAUUGACGCUGAGGUGCGAAAGCGUGGGGAGCAAACAGG
rnacentral:rRNA from 1 species